AGAGUAGCCCUAUGUUGUUCUUCCCACACAGGGGAAGAAUAAUAGCUAAAUUAUUUCAUCCCAUCUGGCAUCUAAUUUUACUUAUCAGUGAACUAUAGGCUAAUGCUGGUUACAAUUGUCCCCCUAUAGCCUGCUGGUAAGUAUACAGUCUCAGUAAAUGUCCCAUUCCUUUUUUCAACAACUCUCAUCUGUGCCUGUCAGUCAAGGAGCAAAGGAGCAUGGUGCAGGGUGUGUAUAACGCCGUCUCUGGUGCCUGCAGAACAGAAAUCCCUAUCAAAACAACCUCCUUUACUUCAAUAGUGAGACACAACUGAAGGGUCAAAUCAGCUUUAAAUUUAAACCUACAGGACUUUAGGAGCCAAAGUGGGAACAUCUGAAAACAUAAUGUCUUAUGACCGUAUUCUGUCCAUCGAAAAUUUGAGUGAUGUUCCAAAUCCAUGGAAAGGCUUCACUAUGAACCGCUGCUUAGUGCUGGCACUGGUCGUAAUGCUUGUGAGCUCAGGAGUCGGUGAACUGCAUGAUGCAAUGGAUUCUUUUGUUGAGGAGACCGGUAUAAUGUCUUUCAUUGGAAGUCUGCAGGAUGGUUCAAUAACUCAGAUCUCCAUAUGGGACAAUUUCAUGUGGUGGUGGGGAACUGAGGAACUUGGAGCGAUAAGAAGAAGAAAAAAGCCAAUUGGCAACAAAGCAAUCCUGAAACCCAAACCUAAAGUAUGAUUUGUAAACACAAAAUAAAUGUCAUCAACUUUUUACAACGACAUGUUUCUGAAUAAAGAGCACAAACACUCUU